rnacentral:rRNA from 1 species
UUAUUAAAGAAUUUCGGUUGUCGAUGGGGAUGCGUUCCAUUAGGCAGUUGGCGGGGUAACGGCCCACCAAACCUACGAUGGAUAGGGGUUCUGAGAGGAAGGUCCCCCACAUUGGAACUGAGACACGGUCCAAACUCCUACGGGAGGCAGCAGUGAGGAAUAUUGGUCAAUGGACGAGAGUCUGAACCAGCCAAGUAGCGUGAAGGAUGACUGCCCUAUGGGUUGUAAACUUCUUUUAUACGGGAAUAAAGUGAGCCACGUGUGGCUUUUUGUAUGUACCGUAUGAAUAAGGAUCGGCUAACUCCGUGCCAGCAGCCACGGUAAUACGGAGGAUCCGAGCGUUAUCCGGAUUUAUUGGGUUUAAAGGGAGCGUAGGCGGGUUGUUAAGUCAGUUGUGAAAGUUUGCGGCUCAACCGUAAAAUUGCAGUUGAUACUGGCGACCUCGAGUGCAACAGAGGUAGGCGGAAUUCGUGGUGUAGCGGUGAA